rnacentral:siRNA from 1 species
AAUAGACACUAAUAUCGAGGAAAC